GAUCAUGGCUCAGGACGAACGCUGGCGGCGUGCCUAACACAUGCAAGUCGAACGAAGCUCUACGAUACAAGACUUCGGUCAAGUUGAACGGAUGACUUAGUGGCGGACGGGUGAGUAACGCGUGAGGAACCUGCCUUUCAGUGGGGGACAACAGUUGGAAACGACUGCUAAUACCGCAUAAUGUAUUCUGACCGCAUGAUCGGAAUACCAAAAGAUUUAUUGCUGAAAGAUGG
rnacentral:rRNA from 1 species